GGAAUUUUGGACAAUGGGCGCAAGCCUGAUCCAGCAAUGCCGCGUGAGUGAAGAAGGCCUUCGGGUUGUAAAGCUCUUUUGUCAGGGAAGAAACGGUGCGGGCUAAUAUCCCGCGCUAAUGACGGUACCUGAAGAAUAAGCACCGGCCAACUACGUGCCAGCAGCCGCGGUAAUACGUAGGUGGCAAGCGUUGUCCGGAUUUAUUGGGUUUAAAGGGUGCGUAGGCGGCCUAUUAAGUCAGUUCUGAAAUAUCCCGGCUUAACCGGGAGGGUGGGAUUGAUACUGAUGGGCUUGAGUGGAGUCGAGGUAGGCGGAAUUGACGGUGUAGCGGUGAAAUGCUUAGAUAUCGUCAAGAACACCGAUAGUGUAGACAGCUUACUAGACUUCAACUGACGCUGAGGCACGAAAGUGUGGGGAUCAAAC
rnacentral:rRNA from 1 species